UACACUUCCCUAUCACACUUUGUAGUCAUUAACAUUGGGCAUAGGCAUCCUUUGGCCUGUUCAAAAACUUCAGCAGUUUGAGGGUUCUGGCUAGAUGAAGUACAGCUACGACCAAAUCUCGCGAGAUGUUGGGUUUAGCUGAAAACAGCGCUCGUUCGGCGAGAGCUCACGAGAUUUUGGACACAGCUGAAAGCCGGCUAGUAUCCCUUCUAGCCACAACUCAGUUCGUCUGAAUGGAAACUCUGAGGAGCACAAACAACUGGCUACCUCAAAAAUGAAUUCCAUAUGGAACUUAGUGGAAGACCAUCUCCCAGAAAUGUGCAGAUGAAUUGCGUAAACAAAUGGUCUCUAAUACUCUAUUCAAAAAAGGUAAGAAAUAGUUUUGUUCAAACACAGCAUAAUUACAAAGUAUGGUUUUGCUGGGUUUUAAUUGUUUUCUUAUUAACACAAAAAACAACAUGACUACCCUUUCUGCUUCUAGAGCCUUAGAGCUGUUCAUGUAUAACUCCGUGGUAGAGCAUUGCGUUUGCAAUGCAAAAGGUCAUCGUGGGUUUGAACCCAGGGAACACAAAUACUGAUACAAAUAAUAAGCAGCUUGUAAUGCACUUUAAGUUGCUUUGGGUAAAAGCGUCUCCAAAUGCAUAAAUAUUAUAUAUACACAUGAUGUAACCCCAGGUGGACCACCCAGGUGGAAACAUGUAUGCUUUAGGUGGACGGCUUUAUCCAAAGCAUAUACUUUUUAUUAGUAUGUGUGCUCCUUGGUUAUUUAGCCCAUAACCUCUUAUCUCAGCCUUGUUUGUUUUAUUUUUGAUGUAUAUACACUGUAAAACCUAACAGUGUAAGUCACUAAACGAAAUGAGUUUUUUAAACUUAUUAUUUUUUAAAGUUAAUUUCACUUAAUAAAAACUGUGAUAUGAACUCAAAAACUGCAAAUGAUUAACCAUAACUUAAACCAAAUAAGUAAGCAACAGCCAGGAUACAGAUAUGAAGAGCUAACAGGUAAGCACUGCAAACUCUUU